UAUAGGGGAAUAUUGGUUGAGAGAUCCUCUAAAGAUCGAGCAGGCAGUUUUAGCUAGCGGCGGAGGCGCUCCCAUCGCGGAUGCUUACACGAUCAACGGCCACCCCGGCCCCAACUAUAACUGCUCCGUCAACGGUAAGCCUCAAGUCUAGUAAUAAGGAUAAAAAUAGUUACAUGAGAUGUAAGAAAAAGGUAAAUUAAGCAGAAACGUUCCUUAGAUGUGUACAGGAUGAACGUGGUACCCGGGAAGACCUACCUGCUGAGGUUGAUCAACGCGGGAUUGAACACAGAAAACUUCUUUGCAAUUGCUAAUCACAAGCUCACCAUAGUCGAAGCAGAUGCAGAGUACACAAAGGCGCUCCACACCGACAAGGUGAUGCUCGCGCCGGGCCAGACCCUCAACGUCCUCGUCACAGCAGAUCAGCCCAUAAGUAGAUACUCCAUGGCUGUCGGGCCAUACAUGUCUGCAAGAAACGUACCGUUUCAGAACAUAACCUCAGUAGGAUAUUUUCAGUACCUAGGUGCAACACCAAACAGCAUAUCUUUACCAGCCAUGCUACCUAGUUUCAACGACAAUCUUGCCGUUAAAACUGUAAUGGACGGGCUCCGGGGCCUCAACACCUCGGAUGUUCCUAAAGUAAUUGACAAGAACUUGUUUGUCACCAUAGGUGUGAAUGUGAAUAAGUGUAAUAGAAAAAACCCCAAGAAAAACUGCCAAGGCACUAAUGGUGGGGUGUUUGCUGCUUCCAUGAACAAUAUAAGUUUCAUUAGACCUAAUGUUUCACUUUUAGAAGCUUAUUACAGGGAUAAAGCUGGCUACUUCACUGAUGAUUUCCCCGGGGCACCCUUAAAAUUUUACGAUUUUGUUAACGGGGCGCCUAACAAUGCUCCUAAUGACACCAACGCGAUGAAUGGGACGAGGUUGUUUGUGCUUGAGUAUGGGACAAGGGUUCAACUCAUUUUGCAGGAUACUGGCACUGUCUCGACUGAGAAUCAUCCAAUUCAUCUUCAUGGCUACAGUUUCUACGUCGUGGGGUAUGGCACGGGUAACUACAAUCCGGAUACGGCUAAUUUCAACUUGAUGGAUCCGCCUUACAUGAACACCAUUGGAGUUCCUGUUGGUGGAUGGGCAGCAAUUAGAUUUACAGCUGAUAAUCCAGGUAUUGCAUCUACUUAAAUCAGUCCUGGCAUCGAUUAUUUACCUAAUAUAAUGUUAUGCAUAACCAGAAAAUUGAUGGAUCAAAUAUAUGCUGCAUAAGAAAAUACAUUUAUGAGACAUCCACACGCUCUUAGACACAUAUGAUAUACUAACACAGACAUCUGCAUCAUUGCCCAAGACAAACUUGAUGAGACUUUAUGAAUGUGGUGCAGGGGUCUGGUUUAUGCAUUGCCAUCUGGAGAUACAUUUAUCAUGGGGUUUGUCUGUGGCAAUUAUUGUCAAGAAUGGGCAAGGACCACUCGAGACCCUCCCCCACCCUCCAGCUGAUUACCCUCGGUGCUAGAAGAUGAAAAACAAGAAUCACGAGGAGGGCUUUUGAUCUUUUCCAUGAUUGGAUUCUUUCGGACAAGUGUGUAUUAUGUCUAUGUAUGGCUUGGUUGUCUCAAUAAAAAUCUCUCUGUUUCUAGAUUCAUUUUGUUAGCUUUUUCGCCGAUAAGAAGCCGUUGUAUAUUGAUGAAUGGUGACGACACACAUCUUAAUUAUAUGAAAAUGCACGUUGAGAAGACAAACAUGGUGAUAUUGAAAGUAAGCUAUAAUGAUACCCUUUUCAAAAAACAAGGCAGAGGGAAGAGAAGCUGUAAAUUACUGUAAGCACAUGAUGACGGUGACAUAUUUAAUAAAGGAGGCAUGAAGUAGAAGAUGCUGAAUGUACCUAUUAAAAAUGGAAAAUAUGUACUAUAAACUUUUAAUUAAUUAAAUGCCAACUUGAUUCUUCAAGGCAUAUAUAUCAGAGUAAAAACUUCUGUACUACAAAAGUGACAAACUAACCAACAUCACAUGGCAUUUUCAUUCUAUUUUUGUUUGGUUCAAAAAUGUUUAAAAGAAGUCGAGAUUUAAUAAACUCUGGGACAAGGCAUUGCCUUUUCUCGUUUACUUUUAGUAUAUGCGUCUCAAGAAAACCUAAGAUCAAUAAGUGGAUCGCUUAGUUCAUUGACAUGUGUCAAUGGGUCAUAUGAACUGCGAGCAGAAUAUGCUGAAAAGUACCUUAUUGAAUCAAUUCUCUCUGCUGCUCGAAGCUCAGAGCUCAUGCGAAAAGUAUAAGUGGCCCCAAAACCAUGGCUAUCCUCAAACAAUAAGAUGCAGAUUAAACCAUCAGUAAGUGUAGAAGAGAAAUUACACGGUAACUAAGAUUAUGUAAACGCAAACCUUAACAACUCAAAUUCAAGAGGGAGAAGAUCGAAUCUAUUUCAUAAUUAGUCCAACAAAUCCAUGUAUUUAUAGUAGCAAAAGGAGGGUACUAACUUGAUGUACUGACAAAUACCUCGUUGUAAGUACAAUUAUUCUCUGUACUGCAUCUCUAAAGAGACAUAACAAAAGACAAUGAAAUAUAGUUUUCCAACCUUUUUAAUAUCCUCUCAGUUAAACAAUAACAGGGUAAAAGUUCUCACAAUAAGAUAAGAGUAACUGAGCUGCCAACUAUUUACUCGAUAAACCCCCGAGCACAAGUAUAAAUAGGCCGAGUUCCUCUCAGAAACAUGAUAUGGUAUUACGAGUAUCUUCAUUGGAAAGCAUCCUGCUCAAAUGAGUGUCCCACAACUCAGACAAGGAGUUUAUUGCUCCUGAAAAAAAUUUCAUGACUGAGACACUCAUUCGAGCGAGAUGUUUUGCAAGGAAGACAAACAUUCUUUUGAAGAAGCAUAAUAAUAAUGAUAAUUGAGGAUUAGUUGUGCAAGUAUUAGUCAGUUAAGGUGGUGGACAGAAAGACUACAGCAUCAAUCACAAAAAAAGAGAGCAAGUAAGUUGAAUCUGCAAUGAUGUUUGCAUGUAACUUUAUUUCUUGAUUCCGAGUCUGAAUGAAAUGAGUCGAUGAGAUUCUAAACAUUUACUUAAUCACAAGACACACAUCAGCCUCAUCUUUCAUUAGUCUUUUCUGAAAACAGUAUCACCAGCCUCUCACUACUCAACGUCAAACACGAGCCCACGAAGCAAGACAGGGUAAAGAUUUUAGGAAGAUGAUGAUCAACAAAUGAAGUUUAGCAGGUUAGCAGCUAUAGUAGUGUAGAUUUAAGGAUCAAAGAUGGCAGCUCAAAUUGUUACACACUUGAUGAAGAAACUCUAAGUCGAGGUGACAUAUUGUACACAAUAGCAUAAGAGCAAAGUACGCAUAUCAUAUUUUUUUAUACAUUGCAAACCAAAUUUCAAAGGCAUAAGAGAAUAACAAGAACCCAACAUAUAUAAGACAUAUGUUAACUCUAUUUAGAAGAUCAUCAGCCAGAUUCUGCAAUAUCGAGAUCAAUAAAUAUCCCAAUAAUAGCUGAUUGGAACAAUAUACUCUGAUACAUGAAACAAGCAUGAACUAAAGCUGCAUGCAAGAUCUCCCUCAAGACCAUUGCAACUCACAAUCCAAAUAGCAAAGCAGAAACAAAAUAUGUGUACCCAAUCAGGGGCGGAGCCAGGGGGGGCAGUGGGGUCACUGGACCCCCCUGGAAUUUCCAAAAAUCCCAGGGGUAUUUUAGUAAUUUUACAAAUAUAUUUAAAAAAAAUUAAAAAUAUUAAUUUUAUCUAAUUUUUCUAAUUGGAAUUCCAAUCCCUAACUUCUGCGAAUUUCAAUCUUUAACUUCGCUAGACCCAUCGGUUCAUUUGCCUUUCGUUGCUCCGCAAGUAAAUGUUGUGCUUCCUAUUCUUGGUCAAUUAUAGCUCAAUGCUCACAUAAAUUUAUUUAAGGGGGUGUGGGGGAAGUUCAUGUUCCUUAGUCCUUGCUCCUUACCCACUGUUACUCUAGUUUUAUUUAAGGGGUGUGGGGGAAGUUCAUGUUCACAUAAAUUUAUUCCAGUGUCCUUCCAAAAAAUAAAACAAUAAAUUAUCGUACUAGUUUAGUGAUGCUAGACGAUUAAUGUGGUGGUUAUCUCAUCUGCUAUAAUAAUAAUUCAAAUGCAUUUACAGACAAUAUUUCUGGUAUGAUGUAUUAUGUAUAUUGUGACAGAACAAAGGUAAUGUUGCUAAAUGGUAAGGUAUGUCUUUUCUAAAGAAAAUAUAUGCUAUAAUUUGAGACUUUUCUAGUUUUCUGCCCCGCUUCUGUAGAGCUUGCAAAUGAUGAUUUUGGGUAUUGACUUUACAAUAUAACUUGUGCUUGGUUAUUAAUAUGCUUGCUAAUUGUUAUAUUGGACUUUUUUUUUAAAUAAUUAUGUUUAUUUUUUUUUAACUUGCUAUAUAAUUUAAAUAACAUUAUAAUUAUAUUAAUUAUUAUUAUUUAUUUUUUAAAUUUUUUUAUUUAAUUAUUAUUUUUUUGAAAAAAAAAAUUUGGACCCCCUAAGUCGAAAGUCUGGCUCCGCCCCUGUACCCAAUUAACAUUAAAAAUCUAGCAUUUAUUCAUUAUGAAUACGAGAAACAAGCGAAAGACAAAACAUACGAAAGGAAUCAGGAGAAGUCACUCAGCUGAGAAAAUUCAGAAUUCAAUUAUCGGUAAAUAAGCAAGUAACAAGACGCCUCCGCCGUCGCCGCGCUGCUCGUUGCCAUUGCCGGCGGCGGCGACCUAAGUUCUCGGCAGCAUUUUGGGCUUACAAGAUCAGGGAUAGUUUCGGUAGUAAAAUUGGGCCUGGCCCAAAGCCCGUUGUUGGAACUGAACU
rnacentral:lncRNA from 1 species